rnacentral:rRNA from 1 species
AGGGAAUCUUCCGCAAUGGGCGAAAGCCUGACGGAGCAACGCCGCGUGAGUGAUGAAGGUUUUCGGAUCGUAAAGCUCUGUUGCCAGGGAAGAACGUCUCAUAGAGUAACUGCUAUGAGAGUGACGGUACCUGAGAAGAAAGCCCCGGCUAACUACGUGCCAGCAGCCGCGGUAAUACGUAGGGGGCAAGCGUUGUCCGGAAUUAUUGGGCGUAAAGCGCGCGCAGGCGGUUCUUUAAGUCUGGUGUUUAAACCCGAGGCUCAACUUCGGGACGCACUGGAAACUGGGGAACUUGAGUGCAGAAGAGGAGAGUGGAAUUCCACGUGUAGCGGUGAAAUGCGUAGAUAUGUGGAGGAACACCAGUGGCGAAGGCGACUCUCUGGGCUGUAACUGACGCUGAGGCGCGAAAGCGUGGGGAGCGAAC